rnacentral:rRNA from 1 species
GAUGAACGCUAGCUACAGGCUUAACACAUGCAAGUCGAGGGGAAACGGCAUCGAAAGCUUGCUUUUGAUGGGCGUCGACCGGCGCACGGGUGAGUAACGCGUAUCCAACCUGCCCAUCACUUGGGAAUAACCUUGCGAAAGUAAGACUAAUGCCCAAUGACAUCCCACGAAGGCAUCCGAAUGGGAUUAAAGAUUUAUCGGUGAUGGAUGGGGAUGCGUCUGAUUAGCUUGUUGGCGGGGUGACGGCCCACCAAGGCAACGAUCAGUAGGGGUUCUGAGAGGGAGGUCCCCCACAUUGGAACUGAGACACGGUCCAAACUCCUACGGGAGGCAGCAGUGAGGAAUAUUGGUCAAUGGGCGAGAGCCUGAACCAGCCAAGUAGCGUGCAGGAUGACGGCCCUAUGGGUUGUAAACUGCUUUUAUAAGGGAAUAAAGUGGGUCACGUGUGACUUUUUGCAUGUACCUUAUGAAUAAGGACCGGCUAAUUCCGUG